GCGAGGUGGCAGGGCCGUUAUGCAGCGGCCUGCAAAGCCGUGAGGACGGGUUCUACUCCCGUCCUCGCCU
rnacentral:tRNA from 1 species